UACAGGGGGGGCAAGCGUUGUUCGGAAUUACUGGGCGUAAAGGGUCUGUAGGUGGCCAACUAAGUCAGACGUGAAAUCCCUCAGCUUAACUGGGGAACUGCGUCUGAUACUGGAUGGCUCGAGUGUGGGAGAGGAAUGCGGAAUUCCAGGUGUAGCGGUGAAAUGCGUAGAUAUCUGGAGGAACACCGGUGGCGAAGGCGGCAUUCUGGACCGGCAUUGACGCUGAGGCGCGAAAGCCAGGGGAGCAAACGGG
rnacentral:rRNA from 1 species